AUUGAACGCUGGCGGCAGGCCUAACACAUGCAAGUCGAGCGCGCGGCGCACGGGUGAGUAAUGUCUGGGAAACUCUCUGAUGGAGGGGGAUAAAACCUCGAAACGGAAGCUAAUACCGCCUACGAUCUGAUGUGCCCAGAUGGGAUUUGCUCGUAGGUGGGGUAACGGCUCACCUAGGCGACGAUCCCUAUCUGGUCUGAGAGGAUGACCAGCCACACUGGAACUGAGACACGGUCCAGACUCCUACGGGAGGCAGCAGUGGGGAAUAUUGCACAAUGGGCGCAAGCCUGAUGCAGCCAUGCCGCGUGUGUGAAGAAGGCCUUCGGGUUGUAAAGCACUUUCAGCGGGGAGGCGUUACCCGCAGAAGAAGCACCGGCUAACUCCGUGCCAGCAGCCGCGGUAAUUC
rnacentral:rRNA from 1 species